rnacentral:lncRNA from 1 species
GCUAAAUGGGAAAUGCUCAGUUCAGGGUUGGAGCCCUAAUGCUGGCUAACAGAACAAUGCUCAGUUCAGGGUUGGAGCCCUAAUGCUGGCUAAAUGAAAAAAUGCUCUGUUUAGGGUUGGAGCCAUAAUGCUGGCUAAUUGGAAAAUGCUCAGUUCAGGGAUGGAGACCUAAUGCUGGCUAACAGAACAAUGCUCAGUUCAGGGAUGGAGCCCUAAUGCUGGCUAACAGAACAAUGCUCAGUUCAGGGUUGGAGCCCUAAUGCUGGCUAAAAGAAAAAUGCUCAGUUCAGGGUCGGAGCCCUAAUGCUGGCUAAAUGGGAAAUGCUCAGUUCAGGGUUGGAGCCCUAAUGCUGGCUAAAUGGGAAAUGCUCAGUUCAGGGUUGGGGCCCUAAUGCUGGCUAACAGAAAAGUGCUCAGUUCAGGGUUGGAGCCCUAAUGCUGGCUAACAGAACAAUGCUAAGUUCAGGGUUGGAGCCCUAAUGCUGGCUAAUAGGAAAAUGCUCAGUUAAGGGUUUGAGCCCUAAUGCUGGCUAAAUGGAAAGUGCUCAGUUCAGGGUUGGAGCCCUAAUGCUGGCUAAAUGGAAAAUGCUCAGUUCAGGGUUGGAGCCCUAAUGCUGGCUAAAUGGAAAAUGCUCAGUUCAGGGUCGGA